rnacentral:piRNA from 1 species
UCCACUCUCACAGGACCUACACUGUUGC